UACGUAGGGUGCAAGCGUUGUCCGGAAUUAUUGGGCGUAAAGAGCUCGUAGGCGGUCUGUCGCGUCGGACGUGAAAACCCAGGGCUCAACCCUGGGCCUGCGUUCGAUACGGGCAGACUAGAGUGCGGUAGGGGAGACUGGAAUUCCUGGUGUAGCGGUGGAAUGCGCAGAUAUCAGGAGGAACACCGGUGGCGAAGGCGGGUCUCUGGGCCGUAACUGACGCUGAGGAGCGAAAGCAUGGGGAGCGAACAGG
rnacentral:rRNA from 1 species